rnacentral:rRNA from 1 species
GGAUCAUUAUCGACAGACAGAACGAGAAGCAAGCAUCCCAAGAGGGACACAAGGGACCGCCUUUCUACUAGAUUCGCUCGAAACCAAAGGCUCUCUCUUCUUCCUUUCCUUUCUUUGCUUUCCUUCUCUUUCUUUCUACCUUUCUCAACCCACACCUGUGCACCUUUCGUAGAUCCCCUCUCGAAAGAGAGGUCGCAUCUAUGUUUAUGUUUAUGUUUUCAUAACAUCACACACCAUGUAUGGCCAGAACGUAUAUCUUGAUUGAUACUUUACAACUUUCAGCAACGGAUCUCUUGGCUCUCGCAUCGAUGAAGAACGCAGCGAAUCGCGAUAUGUAAUGUGAAUUGCAGAUUUUCAGUGAAUCAUCGAAUCUUUGAACGCACAUUGCGCUCCUCGGUAUACCGAAGAGCAUGCCUGUUUGAGUGUCAUAAAAUCAUCAACCAUUCCUCGUUGGAAACGACAAGGACAUGGAUUGGAAUUGGGGGUUGCUGGCAGCCAUCUCAGCUCCUCUUAAAAGCAUUAGCGAUCGACUUGGCUAGUCCCUUGACGUGCACGGCCUCGGACGUGAUAAAGAUCGUCCUGGCUGGAGCGUCAUUUCCUGGACUGUCCUAAGGAGAUCGCUUCUAACAAAUGACAUCGAAAUCAAUCAAAUCAAAAUCAAUCAAAAUCAACAUUGGAUCUAAAGGAGAGAGUCUAUGGAGCUUAGCUACUAGUCAGUCAUGGAGAUGGAUUCAUGAAGACCAGAGAAAGCUUGAGCUUGAUGUCUUGGCCUUUUAUGCUUGACUUGACUUGAUUUGAUUUGACUUGAUUUGAUUUCAUGUUCGCUCUGUCAUUGAUUGAGUUGACCUCAAAUCAGGUAGGACUACCCGCUGAACUUAAGCAUAUCAAUAAGCGGAG